GGUCGGCCGGUCCGCCUUUGG
rnacentral:siRNA from 1 species